AAUCCGUGUUGUGGGCAUGAACGCUGACCAAAUCUUUGAACCUUUCCCAACAUUGAAAGAAUGUUUCAUCUUCCUUUUGGGCAAAGUUCAUGAUCGCUUUUCUGAGGGU